rnacentral:sRNA from 1 species
AUGGCUGUCGUCAGCUCGUGUCGUGAGAUGUUGGGUUAAGUCCCGCAACGAGCGCAACCCUUGCCCUUAGUUGCCAGCAGGUAAUGCUGGGCACUCUAGGGGUACUGCCGGUGAUAAAUCGGAGGAAGGCGGGGAUGAGGUCAAGUCAUCAUGGCCCUUACGUCCAGGGCUACACACGUGCUACAAUGGCCGGUAUAAAGGGUUACAAUACCGCGAGGUGGAGUCAAUCCCAMAAAGCCGGUCUCAGUUCGGAUUGCAGUCUGAAACUCGACUGCAUGAAGUUGGAAUCGCUAGUAAUCGCGGAUCAGCACGCCGCGGUGAAUAUGUUCCCAGGCCUUGUACACACCGCCCGUCAAGUGAUGGAAGCUGGAAGUGCCCGAAGUCGUUACUCUAACCCUUGGGAGGAGUGCGCCGAAGGUAAAGCUAGUGACUGGCACUAAGUCGUAACAAGGUAGCCGUACCGGAAGGUGCGGCUGGAUCACCUCCUUUCUAAAGAGUUAUUAUAACUAAACUCUGAGGUCGACUCGGUCAGAUGUAAGACAUGCACGCUAUCUCGUUUUUAAUUUGGGCCUAUAGCUCAGCUGGUUAGAGCGCACGCCUGAUAAGUGUGAGGUCCCUGGUUCGAUCCCAGGUAGGCCCACCUUUAAAAGCCGGGGAUAUAGCUCAGCUGGGAGAGCGCCGGCUUUGCAAGCCGGAGGUCACCGGUUCGAUCCCGGUUAUCUCCAUUACGGCACAGCACAUGAGCUGUGCCUGUUCUUUGACAAUUGCAUAGGAAAGACGGGAACGGCAUUGUAUCAUCGGAGCACGGAACACUUUUAGUAUUUGUUGGUCAAGUUACUAAGAGCAUACGGUGGAUGCCUUGGCGUCAGAAGGCGAUGAAGGACGUGGUUAAGCUGCGAUAAGCCUCGGGGAGUUGCACGCAAGCUUAGAUCCGAGGAUUUCCGAAUGGGGAAACCCGG